GUUGGUAGGGCUUAGGAUCGACAUCAAGGAUAUAGACACUGAAAGACCUCUCGCAAGAUUCUGUUCGGAGAGUCAAUAUUAUAGAGGGUAACCUCUUAGAAAUGAUUAGUUGUAAUAGUAAAAGCCCGCUGGUCUGAUUAGGAGUAAGGAUUGACCAAGAAUCCCAAAGAACAGUUGCGCUUUUUCUGGUUCAAUAUUUGGUACCCGAAAGUUACUCUGGG
rnacentral:lncRNA from 1 species